rnacentral:rRNA from 1 species
AUUGAACGCUGGCGGCAUGCCUUACACAUGCAAGUCGAACGGCAGCACGGGGGCAACCCUGGUGGCGAGUGGCGAACGGGUGAGUAAUGCAUCGGAACGUGCCCAGUAGUGGGGGAUAACCAGUCGAAAGACUGGCUAAUACCGCAUACGACCCAAGGGUGAAAGCGGGGGACCGUAAGGCCUCGCGCUAUUGGAGCGGCCGCUGUCUGAUUAGCUAGUUGGCGGGGUAAGAGCCCACCAAGGCGACGAUCAGUAGCUGGUCUGAGAGGACGACCAGCCACACUGGGACUGAGACACGGCCCAGACUCCUACGGGAGGCAGCAGUGGGGAAUUUUGGACAAUGGGCGCAAGCCUGAUCCAGCCAUGCCGCGUGCGGGAAGAAGGCCUUCGGGUUGUAAACCGCUUUUGGCAGGAACGAAACGGCGCAGGCCAAUACCUUGCGCUAAUGACGGUACCUGCAGAAUAAGCACCGGCUAACUACGUGCCAGCAGCCGCCGUAA